rnacentral:siRNA from 1 species
GAACAAGAAGUGAAUGUAUUAGAG